UGGCACCGGUGUCUCCUCAGAC
rnacentral:siRNA from 1 species